AUGAAACGCACCAUCAUUUCUAGUGCAACUGAACUCAUGUCAUUCCAUGAGCUGGAGCUGAUGACUGGAAGGAGUCUGGAAGAUGAAGACUGCGGCAACUAUAAUAAGCCUUUGUGGCAUCCUUACUAUGGGAGGCUACAGUAUGUGCAUGCACACAACACAAAGCGCACCUGGAGCGCUGUGGAUACUGAGCUCCUAAGGACGAUGACAAUGUCUCCUGAAGAGAUGGAAUAUGCUAGGGCCCAUCAGAAAAUUACAGAGCAGCCUGUGAAUGAGGAGCCUCUGAGACACACACUGCCAGUGAACAGAAUAACACCCAUAACUGACCCACCACUGGAAGGAGAUGCCUUGAUACUGAGUAAACUAAAGGACCUGUGCAGCCCCACAGUCUUCCUGCUUGAGCAGUUAGGUUUACUGAGCCUCUUCUGCAAGUUGUUUGGAAAGCUAACUACAAAGAGGAGGGCCAGAGAACCUAAAACCCACCUGGUCAGGCAUCCAGGCUGACAGAGGAGCUUCACUGACCUGUGUGAAGGCAAGAGAACAGCCUCCACAGGAGUAAGCUGGGCCAGACAGAGAAAGGAACUGAGAACACUCUUUAUCAGGGCUCUUCUGGCUUUCAUCUGUUUCAUUACAUUUUGUAGAAAUUUAAAAUAUUUAUGUCACCAGCAGUUGUAACAGUUAAGAUUUAAAUUCAUAUGUACUGUAUAUUCAGAUCAAUAAUUAACAGCAUCCUACUUCUACAUUUGCUAAUAAAGUAUGAAAGGGAAUUAGUUUAAAAGGGCAUACGGUAUAUGAAAAAUAUUUUUUUAAGUUGUAAAAUUGAAUAUUGACACACCAAUACCUUAUUUGUGCAGAUUUAACAAUUCUAUUUAAGUAAUUUUAACGAACAACGUUGCUCUGAUCAUACACCUAAUUGUAAUGUUAAGCAAAAUCAACCCAUCACCUCUUAUUAUAUACCAUCUUAUUUUUGUUCUAAGACAAAACAGUCAUAAUGCCAACAUAAAAUUCUAAUAAUAUAAUUUAAAAUGUAAAAAAUUUAAUUUUAAGUAAUUUAGUGCUAAAAUGUUU
rnacentral:lncRNA from 1 species